GGGCACAUGGUGUAGUUGGUUAUCACGCUCGCUUUGCAUGGUUGGAACUAGGUUGCCAUGAUUCCUGCGAGUGGUCCUCGGUUCAAUUCCGGGUGUGUCCA